rnacentral:rRNA from 1 species
AUUGAACGCUGGCGGCAGGCCUAACACAUGCAAGUCGGGCGAGAGGCGGACGGGUGAGUAAGGUAUGGGGACCUGCCUGAUGUCGGGGGAUAACUACUGGAAACGGUAGAUAAUACCGCAUACCAUCAGAUGAACCCAUGUGGGAUUAGCUAGCAGGUGAGGUAACGGCUUACCUAGGCGACGAUCCCUAGCUGGUCUGAGAGGAUGAUCAGCCACACUGGGACUGAGACACGGCCCAGACUCCUACGGGAGGCAGCAGUGGGGAAUAUUGCACAAUGGGCGCAAGCCUGAUACAGCCAUGCCGCGUGUAUGAAGAAGGCCUUCGGGUUGUAAAGUACUUUCAGUCGGGAGGCGUUACCGACAGAAGAAGCACCGGCUAACUCCGUGCCAGCCGCCGCGGUAAUAC